AUUUUAAGAAAACCACUGGAUAAUGCGUAAUUAUCAUGUGAACUUGCAGUUUAGUUCAUUACCCACAUCAAUAUCCUCAAAUUUGUUCUUUUCUUCCAUUUAAAAAAAAAACAGAAAUUGUUAAUAUUUUUCUUGAUUAGUAACAAGAGGCUUUUUUGCGUUUCAAUACCGCUUUCCAAAGUCACAAUUCAUGGCCAUAGUAUAGCAAAGUAAAAAAAAAAACUUAAUCGC
rnacentral:lncRNA from 1 species